UGGGGAAUCUUGGACAAUGGGGGCAACCCUGAUCCAGCGAUGCCGCGUGAGCGAAGAAGGCCUUAGGGUUGUAAAGCUCUUUCGCCCGCGACGAUGAUGACGGUAGCGGGAGAAGAAGCCCCGGCUAACUCCGUGCCAGCAGCCGCGGUAAUACGGAGGGGGCUAGCGUUGUCCGGAAUUACUGGGCGUAAAGCGCGCGUAGGCGGUCCACCAAGUCGGGGGUGAAAGCCCGGGGCUCAACCCCGGAAUGUCCUCCGAGACUGUUGGACUGGAGUUCGGGGGAGGAGAGCGGAAUUCCCAGUGUAGAGGUGAAAUUCGUAGAUAUUGGGAAGAACACCGGUGGCGAAGGCGGCUCUCUGGCCCGCAACUGACGCUGAGGCGCGAAAGCGUGGGGAGCAAACA
rnacentral:rRNA from 1 species